CUCGUUUUCAGCCAUAUUUAGAGUUUGAGCGCUAUGUGUACAUCUCAACAUCUGGAGCUCAUUUCAUUCAGUCUGAAGAACCAAACAGAUAAACAACAAGUGAAGAACAGCUUGACCAGCACAUUGUGAUCUUUUUCAAUCGCUGCAGUUUGUUUUUGAAAUUCAAAAAUUACGUCUUUUCAGAAUAUGAAAGAGAACACAGAGAGAUACACCUGCACUGUAUCUUUAACAUGCAUUUUACAAAUAAAGAAAAAAAAGAAAAAGAAAGGAAAGGAAAAAAGAAAAGAAAAGAAAAGAAAGAAAUAAAGAGAAGCAAGAAAAAAGAAAAAGAAAGAAAAAAGAAAGAAAGAAAGAAGGAAAGAAAGAAAGAAAAAAGAAAGAAAGAAGAAAGAUUGAAUGCAUGUAAUCAGUUUCACAGAGGACUGUACUGUAUUUCAUAUUUCUGUCAGGUCGAUGUGUAUUGUAAACCUGGCCGUCUGGAAUCUUUCACAUAAUGAAAGCGGGAUACGAUGGUGUGAAAUGGUUUGAGAGCGCCGUGCCAAACUGUUAUCAUGACCCAGACAAGCGUUGCUUAAUUCCUGUCCACCGAGUCUGAUGAAUUCCGACUUCACUGUCAUUUCUUCACCUUCACAGAGUAAACAAUCAGCUGCACCUGCCAUCAUUGUGGAAAGUGAAAAGGAUAUCCAGAUUAUCAUCAAGACUUGGGCUCUUUUGACUCGACCUGAGAUGUGAGAGAUUGUGAGCGGUCUGUUCUGGUACGGAUCUUCCUCCACUAAAGCCCAGCUUGAGGAUUUCUGCAGAGCUCUCUGAUCCGGUCUGAAUCCCGCUGAAGGUUUGAACAAAUCCCCUUUACAUAAAUCUGCCCCAGACACCAAACCCUCAGACCUCCAGUGUGUUCGCUAGCUGUUAUAUCACCAGCGGCUU